GGGGCAUUAGCGCAGUUGGGAGCGCGUUUGAAUGGCAUUCAAAAGGUCGUGGGUUCGAAUCCCAUAUGCUCCA
rnacentral:tRNA from 4 species